rnacentral:lncRNA from 1 species
ACUAUAAACGGUCUCCGCCGUCCGUACUUGCUCUUACACCUGUCGCUGCUGUGUCCCACGAGCGGCUGCACGAACAGUCCGGAGAGCGGGCCGCAGAGCCAGAUCACGCUCGCCCAGGCGUGCGGGAUCCCCAGCUCUUGGACGUAAGGGGUGAGGAGAAGUCCGGAGAGCGGGCCGCAGAGCCAGAUCACGCUCGCCCAGGCGUGCGGGAUCCCCAGCUCUUGGACGUAAGGUGUGAGGAGAGAGAGCUGGAGCGCCCACCCGAACUGUAUCCCGCAGGCCACGGAGGCGACGCGGAGGAGCACGCGCUUCGAGGCUUUUGAUCGAGGGGGUUGGCGGUUGCGUGAGGGCGGUGGUCGGUG